rnacentral:rRNA from 1 species
AAUCAACGCUGGCGGCGUGCCUAACACAUGCAAGUCGAACGCGAAAGCCCCUUCGGGGGCAAGUAGAGUGGCGUCCGGGUGAGUAACACGUGGGUAAUCUACCUCCGGGUGGGGAAUAACUCGCCGAAAGGCGGGCUAAUACCGCAUAAUGCAGCGGCACCGAAUGGUGAUUAGUUGUUAAAGCGGGGGCCUUAGGGCCUCGCGCCUGGAGAGGAGCCUGCGGCAGAUUAGCUUGUUGGUAGGGAAUGGCCUACCAAGGCUGCGAUCUGUAGCUGGUCUGAGAGGACGGCCAGCCACACUGGCACUGACACACGGGCCAGACUCCUACGGGAGGCAGCAGUGGGGAAUUUUGGGCAAUGGGCGAAAGCCUGACCCAGCAACGCCGCGUGAAGGAGGAAAUCCUUCGGGA